rnacentral:rRNA from 1 species
GGCUCAUUAAAUCAGUUAUCGUUUAUUUGAUAGUACCCUACUACAUGGAUACCUGUGGUAAUUCUAGAGCUAAUACAUGCGCAAAACCCCGACUUCGGAAGGGGUGUAUUUAUUAGAUAAAAAACCAAUGCCCUUCGGGGCUCCUUGGUGAUUCAUAAUAACUUCACGAAUCGCAUGGCCUUGCGCCGGCGAUGGUUCAUUCAAAUUUCUGCCCUAUCAACUUUCGAUGGUAGGAUAGUGGCCUACCAUGGUGGCAACGGGUAACGGGGAAUUAGGGUUCGAUUCCGGAGAGGGAGCCUGAGAAACGGCUACCACAUCCAAGGAAGGCAGCAGGCGCGCAAAUUACCCAAUCCCGAUACGGGGAGGUAGUGACAAUAAAUACUGAUACAGGGCUCUUUUGGGUCUUGUAAUUGGAAUGAGAACAAUCUAAAUCCCUUAACGAGGAACAAUUGGAGGGCAAGUCUGGUGCCAGCAGCCGCGGUAAUUCCAGCUCCAAUAGCGUAUAUUAAAGUUGUUGCAGUUAAAAAGCUCGUAGUUGAACCUUGGGCCCGUCCUGCCGGUCCGCCUCACCGCGAGUACUGGUCCGGAUGGGCCUUUCUUUCUGGGGAAUCCCAUGGCCUUCACUGGCUGUGGCGGGGAACCAGGACUUUUACUGUGAAAAAAUUAGAGUGUUCAAAGCAGGCCUUUGCUCGGAUACAUUAGCAUGGAAUAAUAGAAUAGGACGUGCGGUUCUAUUUUGUUGGUUUCUAGGACCGCCGUAAUGAUUAAUAGGGAUAGU